rnacentral:rRNA from 1 species
AUUGAACGCUGGCGGCAGGCCUAACACAUGCAAGUCGAGCGGUAACAGAAAGAGAGCUUGCUUUCUUUGCUGACGAGCGGCGGACGGGUGAGUAAUGCAUGGGAAUCUACUCUGACGUGGGGGACAACGAAGGGAAACGAUAGCUAAUACCGCAUACUCCCUUCGGAGCAAAGCGGGGGACCUUCGGGCCUCUCGCGUCAGGAUGAGCCGAGGUCGGAUUAGCUAGUUGGCGGGGUAAUGGCCCACCAAGGCGACGAUCCCUAGCUGGUCUGAGAGGAUGAUCAGCCACACUGGAACUGAGACACGGUCCAGACUCCUACGGGAGGCAGCAGUGGGGAAUAUUGCACAAAGGGGGAAACCCUGAUGCAGCCAUGCCGCGUGUAUGAAGAAGGCCUUCGGGUUGUAAAGUCCUUUUAGUGGUGAAGAAGGGGUUGGAGUUAAUAGCUUCAGGGCUUGACGUUAGCAACAGAAUAAGCACCGGCUAACUCCGUG